rnacentral:rRNA from 1 species
AUUGAACGCUGGCGGCAGGCCUAACACAUGCAAGUCGAGCGGUAGAGAGAAGCUUGCUUCUCUUGAGAGCGGCGGACGGGUGAGUAAUGCCUAGGAAUCUGCCUGGUAGUGGGGGAUAACGUUCGGAAACGGACGCUAAUACCGCAUACGUCCUACGGGAGAAAGCAGGGGACCUUCGGGCCUUGCGCUAUCAGAUGAGCCUAGGUCGGAUUAGCUAGUUGGUGAGGUAAUGGCUCACCAAGGCGACGAUCCGUAACUGGUCUGAGAGGAUGAUCAGUCACACUGGAACUGAGACACGGUCCAGACUCCUACGGGAGGCAGCAGUGGGGAAUAUUGGACAAUGGGCGAAAGCCUGAUCCAGCCAUGCCGCGUGUGUGAAGAAGGUCUUCGGAUUGUAAAGCACUUUAAGUUGGGAGGAAGGGCAUUAACCUAAUACGUUAGUGUUUUAACGUUACCGACAGAAUAAGCACCGGCUAACUCUGUGC